CCAGCAGCUGCGGUAAUUCCAGCUCCAAUAGCGUAUACUAAAGUUGUUGCAGUUAAAAAGCUCGUAGUUGAAUUUCUGGUAGGAGUGACCCGUCCUUUGAUGUAUGUCAAUGUUGAUGUGUGUCAUCUCUGGCCAUCCUCACUGCUUCGGCAGUGUCUUUCACUGUAAAAAAAUUAGGGUGUUUCAAGCAAAAGUUUUCUUUGGAAUAUUUCAGUAUGGGAUGAUAAGAUAGGCUCUCGAUGCUAUUUUGUUGGUUUGCACAUCAAGAGAAUGAUUAACAGGGACAGUUGGGGGUAUUCGUAUUUCUAUGUCAGAGGUGAAAUUCUUGGAUUUUCGGAAGACGAACUACUGCGAAAGCAUUUACCAAGGAUGUUUUCAUUAAUCAAGAACGAAAGU
rnacentral:rRNA from 1 species